GGGGUUGUGGCUCAGAGGUGGAGUGCUUGCCUACCAUGCAUGAGGUACUGGGUUCGAUCCUCAGCAUCACAU
rfam:Ictidomys tridecemlineatus contig050243, whole genome shotgun sequence.